CAACCUUUGACAUGUCCCGUAUGAGCAACAGAGAUGUAGGUCUUCAGUUCGGCUGGCGGGAACACAGGUGCUGCAUGGCUGUCGUCAGCUCGUGUCGUGAGAUGUUGGGUUAAGUCCCGCAACGAGCGCAACCCUCGCCCUUAGUUGCCAUCAUUUAGUUGGGCACUCUAAGGGGACUGCCGGUGAUAAGCCGCGAGGAAGGUGGGGAUGACGUCAAGUCCUCAUGGCCCUUACAGGUUGGGCUACACACGUGCUACAAUGGCGGUGACAAUGGGAUGCAAUGGGGCGACCCUGCGCAAAUCUCAAAAAGCCGUCUCAGUUCGGAUUGCACUCUGCAACUCGAGUGCAUGAAGUUGGAAUCGCUAGUAAUCGCAGAUCAGCACGCUGCGGUGAAUACGUUCCC
rnacentral:rRNA from 1 species